rnacentral:tRNA from 2 species
CGGCGUGUAGCGCAGCCUGGUAGCGCACUUGUCUGGGGGACAAGGGGUCGCAGGUUCGAAUCCUGUCACGCCGACCA